GUCAUUUCAGAGAUACCUAUCCUUGAACUAUACCCUGGUAAGAGUGGGCAUCUAUUCUUUAUGACAGGAGUCACUAUCAAUAUAAUUUAGGCCUGCAGAGAGAUGUUUUCUGAGAGAAACCAAUAGGACUAUUAACCAGAAGCUAAAGACAGGUAUCACUAUCACCAGAUGUUAUCUAUGGAAGACACAUGUAGAGACUCUGCCUGGGAGAAAAUGCUGAUUGAAAAUUCUCUCUGUCCAUGUGUGAGUGAUUUUAUACAUUUGACUCCCUCUUAUGAUAGAUUUUUCUUAGAAGAAAGAAUAGACCCCAAAAGAUUAAUAUGAAGACUGAGGAGGCUUCACGAGCAUGUCAGGUGAUUUAUGGCAGGCUUGAAUUGGAGCUUAAUCAGAGUGUUACCAGUAGAGGGUGUCCAGGUUCUUGGCAUCUUGAACAAAGAAUUGGACAAAACGCACAAACGAAGCAAGGAAGAAAUGAAGGGAUUGAAAAUUAAAGUACACUCCACAAUGUGGGAGCAAGCCUGAGCAUAGGGGCUCAAGGGCCCCGUUACAGAAUUUGUAGGGGUUUAAAUACCUUCUAUGGGUUUCCAUUGGUUACUUGGUAUAUGCCCUAUGUAAAAGAGAGGAUGAAGUAAAGUUACUUAUAUUUGGUGUAUGCCCUAUGGAGAGGCUAUUUCCCGUCAUAGCUGAAGUGUGAAUCGGCUUUAUGUUCCCUUCCCCCAGACCCUAUUUUCCUGCCUCAUUUUCUCUCUGAGAGACGUGAUCCCCAUAAAUCUUUAUAAGAGGCAGAGGGACCCACAGUCUUUCUUCUAUAACUGCUUCAUGCUGGCUUGAGAUGUAGCUCCCAGCGACUGAGUAUCACAGUACUCACCCUGCUCUGUCUAGUGGGGACAGGGUUUCCUUGAUGGUCAGGGGUGGUGUCUUUCACCUGGAACUGGCUGGAACCCUUGUCACAUGAUCAUCUGAAGCUUGAUGGUCUCUAGGCAAGAGGAAAUGAAUUUCGUUAAAAGAUUUAAUGGGAACUUCAAGGAGUGGAUACCUGUGCUGUCAAGAAUGUUUGUUAUAGAGAUUUGUAUGAGAAAAACAAAACCUGGUUUGUGUUGUGUUCUAGGAUCUAUGUGUUACCUUAAAGUCUUAGCACAAGCAACUCCAUUAUAGUUUGGUUUGGUCUGUUGGAGCCUAGUGCAUGAGCUCAGUCCAAAACAAUGGCCUUCCAUAACUUUGUUUUAAAAAAUCCCCCUUUUUGGUCAGGUUCUCACUUAGGUGAGAGGGUAACCAAAACUUAGGGCCUUAAUAACACUCUCAGUUACCAUCAUUUUGGGUUUCAGUCUUAGCACAUCAUUCAUAGGUUAUGGUGUCCUCAUGGUUGCUCAUUUCUUUCAGCUCUUGUUAUUUCAAUUGAAGAGAGACCGUAUGACACUCUAGAGAUGGCUGCAUGCAAACAUUCAAAACCUUUGAGAGAAUACAGCAUGCCAGGAAGACUAUUAUUACGACUAAUGGGAAGAUAAUACCAAGAAUUUGGAGUAUACUCCUUACCCAAGGUCCCCAUAAACUGAACUUCCUAAAAUCAAAUAGAUCAAAGAAUGAGCUAGAUAAACAGUUUACUACUUAACUAAGCAGUCCCUUUGCAAAUUCUCUACCACUGAAUUUCUAUAAUCUUCAUUUGAUGUAUUUUUCCAUAGGCCACAAGUAUUAGCAGCUGCACAGAUAAUUUUCUGUUCAGCAAAUUCUAUUAUAACUUUCACAAGACAAUUUAAAGUCUUUGUGUAACUGUAGCCUUUACAGUAAAAUUUGAGCCUAUCAUGAGGUGUACAUUUCUAAUCAUUGCUUUUUCACUUUAAACCAAGGAAAAAGGACCUAACAAAUGAUGCUCUUCUGGAAGAGUGAAGGCCUACUGGCAAUGUUCUCUUUAACCCAUGAUGUGGGCUAAGAGGAGUGAACCAAUAAAUAAAAUAAUAAAAUAAUCCAAAUUGAAUACA
rnacentral:lncRNA from 1 species